AUGAACGCUGGCGGCGUGCCUAACACCUGCAAGUCGAGCGAACAGACGAGGAGCUUGCUCCUCUGACGUUAGCGGCGGACGGGUGAGUAACACGUGGAUAACCUACCUAUAAGACUGGGAUAACUUCGGGAAACCGGAGCUAAUACCGGAUAAUAUAUUGAACCGCAUGGUUCAAUAGUGAAAGACGGUUUUGCUGUCACUUAUAGAUGGAUCCGCGCCGCAUUAGCUAGUUGGUAAGGUAACGGCUUACCAAGGCAACGAUGCGUAGCCGACCUGAGAGGGUGAUCGGCCACACUGGAACUGAGACACGGUCCAGACUCCUACGGGAGGCAGCAGUAGGGAAUCUUCCGCAAUGGGCGAAAGCCUGACGGAGCAACGCCGCGUGAGUGAUGAAGGUCUUCGGAUCGUAAAACUCUGUUAUUAGGGAAGAACAAAUGUGUAAGUAACUAUGCACGUCUUGACGGUACCUAAUCAGAAAGCCACGGCUAACUACGUG
rnacentral:rRNA from 1 species